GUCCAUGCCGUAAACGAUGUAUACUUGAUGUAACUGGGCUAAACCCUAGUUGUGUCGAAGCUAACGCGAUAAGUAUACCGCCUGAGGAGUACGCUCGCAAGGGUGAAACUCAAAAGAAUUGACGGGGGCCCGCACAAGCAGUGGAGCAUGUGGUUUAAUUCGAUGCAACGCGAAGAACCUUACCCAGGUUUGAAAUACAGAGGACGAUGGUAGAGAUACCAUUUCCCGCAAGGGUCUCUGAACAGGUGCUGCAUGGCUGUCGU
rnacentral:rRNA from 1 species